AAAUCAUUCUGGGGAAAAUUCCUUAUCAAUCCUUUGUAGCGCUCACAUGCCUCGUAGAGUGACUCACCUGGUUGUUGCUCAAAAUUUGCUAUGGGUUUCUUGAGUUU